UCGGUUUAACCGAAUUAAUUAGAAACCGAUCAUUCAUUCGGUUAGUUCGAGUGAUGAUGAAAACUGCGUUGCAAAAAAUUGGUCUAAGAAUCGACUGAAUCGGUGAUUACCAAUGAAUUGCCGAAAUCGAUCGAAUUUUUUUUAUCAAUAAAACUCCACAUCUAAGUGAUUUACCAAUCAAGUUUAAUCAAAUCCAUUAGAUUCCCGGGAUCCUUUUUCAUGCUUUCUUCUUCUUCUUCUUCACGCGUGACGCUACGUCUGCUUCUUGGAUCUAUUUAGUUGAACUUAGGAUAACAGUAAUAUUCGUAGCAAAUUGUUUUUUGAGAGUGACGGAUACGGCGCCGUUUUGAAUUUCAAAAAAAAAAAUUUCAGAAAUGCCCAAUACCCAACCCACCCCACUCUCUCUCUCUGAAGAACCCAACCCAAUACCCCAAACCUCCUUCGAAGUUCGAAUGCAGCCCGCAGCCACCAUCCAUCUUCAAAGUCAUCGCCGAACUUUUCUCCUCCGGUAGAGGGUGCUGUCGCCGCCGGCGGGGACAGACCGUGGGUGCCGCGUCGCGUGUGGAAGCUCUGCUCGUCCUGGUUCCUCUCCUGUCAUCGCAGGAAGGUCUGCGUGAGCUCGGGGCGUCGCCGUCGCGAAGGGUUGGUCGGUCGUGGUCUCUUCGAGCUCUCUCUCUCUCUCCCUGUCUUUGUCCGAGCUCAACGUCCCUCUUCGAUCUCUCUCUCGCUCUCUGUCCGAGCUCUCUUUGGUUCCUCCGUUGCCGUCAGUUCCCAUUCCUCCGUCGCCGUCACUUCCUUUCCUCUCUCGCCGCUGGUCUUGUAGCAGAAGAUAUGUUUUAUUUAAUUGAAUGUGAGGGUGCCUUGAUGAAGAUAUUUAUGCUCGUGAUAGAAUAGAAGUGUUUUUAUUUCUGAAAUCUCACUCUUUUGAUGGAUUGUUUAACACCUCAAAGCUCAGAUAUAGUUGUUCAAUUCUAGAUUCAAGCUUCUUUAAGCUUUUCUGUUACUGGAACAAUGAACAGAGUUUUUCAAAAUACAUGUAUUUGUAUCACUAUAUGUAAUCAUUGGAAAAAAUUAGGGGUUGAUUGUUGA